AUUGAACGCUGGCGGCAUGCCUUACACAUGCAAGUCGAACGGUAACAGGUCUUCGGAUGCUGACGAGUGGCGAACGGGUGAGUAAUACAUCGGAACGUGCCCGAUCGUGGGGGAUAACGGAGCGAAAGCUUUGCUAAUACCGCAUACGAUCUACGGAUGAAAGCAGGGGACCGCAAGGCCUUGCGCGGACGGAGCGGCCGAUGGCAGAUUAGGUAGUUGGUGGGAUAAAAGCUUACCAAGCCGACGAUCUGUAGCUGGUCUGAGAGGACGACCAGCCACACUGGGACUGAGACACGGCCCAGACUCCUACGGGAGGCAGCAGUGGGGAAUUUUGGACAAUGGGCGCAAGCCUGAUCAGCCAUGCCGCGUGCAGGAUGAAGGCCUUCGGGUUGUAAAGCUCUUUUGUCCGGUAAGAAAAGCGCCGGGUUAAUAACCCUGGUGUCCUGCGGUACCGGAAGAAUAAGCACCGGCUAACUUCGUGCCAGCAGCCGCGGUAA
rnacentral:rRNA from 1 species